UACGUAGGGUGCAAGCGUUAAUCGGAAUUACUGGGCGUAAAGCGUGCGCAGGCGGUUGUGCACGACCGAUGUGAAAUCCCCGGGCUUAACCUGGGAAUGGCAUUUGGGACUGCAAGGCUGGAGUGUGGCAGAGGAGACUGGAAUUCCCGGUGUAGCAGUGAAAUGCGUAGAUAUCGGGAGGAAUACCGAUGGCGAAGGCAGGUCUCUGGGCUGACACUGACGCUCAUGCACGAAAGCGUGGGGAGCAAACAGG
rnacentral:rRNA from 1 species